GGAGGAUGUUGUAAUGGAGCUUAUGGAGAAGAGUAAGGAUCGAAGUUACAUAGUCAAUUGGGCACCACAGGAGGCGGUCUUGAACCACCCAGCCGUUGGCGGGUUCUUUACGCAUAAUGGAUGGAACUCGACUUUGGAGAGCAUCGUCGCAGGGGUGCCUAUGAUUUGCUGGCCUUACUUUGCUGACCAACACGUGAAUAGUAGGGUUGUGAGUGAGGUGUGGAAAAUAGGGUUGGAUAUGAAGGAUGUAUGUGAUAGAAAGAUAGUGGAGAAAAUGGUAAAUGAUGUGAUGGUGGAUCGAAAGGAGGAGUUUGCAAAAUCCGCAUAUGAAAUGGCUAAGGUAACCAAUCAAUGUGUUAAUGUUGGUGGGUCUUCUUAUAGUAAUUUGGACUGUUUAGUUGAAGAUAUUAGAAUAAUGAGCUUGAAAAAACUCACAAAAUGAGCUUUGAACCACCCAGCUGUUGGCGGGUUCUCUUCAUUUUAAUUUUUUUUAUUGCAAUAUCUCUUUAAACAAAGUAAUUGAAUAGCAGUAAAACUUUUAAAAAUAUCCUUACAUGAUUGAAUAUCUUGAUCAAUAAAACUUUUAAAAAUAUCCUUACAUGAUUGAAUAUCUUGAUCAAUUACAAUCACCCAAUUUUUUUAUUAUUAACCUUAAAAAGAUGUACAACAAUAGUUACUUAAAUCCUAUCAAAAUAUGCCAAUAAAAUAGGUAAGUUACAAACAAUUCAAUUGCAAACUGAGUUGUGACUAACUGAGUAAUUAACGAAUGAUGCAAGUCCCAAGACCCAAUUUUAGACUAAUGGAUGUGAUGAGUUCACAUUACCUCAAAGCCCAACAAUAGUGUCAAAAGCCAAACAAAUCAAAUCAAAAUUCAGUCAAAAACAAUAUUUGAGGAUGAAUCUUUUCGAGAAAAGGGGAAAUGAUUUAUGUAUGGAUAGGAUGAAAUUUAUUAAACUUCAUUCACCGAUGGUGCCAACUUUCAAGUUUAGAAAAUCAACAAACUUGCAACGCCUUUUUGGAUGGGAUCCAAGCAUUUCUGGGUUAAGAUGCCUUCAUGAAGUUCAAAGUUUAUCUAACCUGGAUUUGAUUGCGUUUCAAAUUGUGUCAAAAUCCAAAUUUCUUUCCUAACGUCUAGAGUCCUAAGUCAAAUUCUCGACUUAAACAAACUUUACGAUCUACUUCCACAUUCAUCCACCUCAACCUUUAUCAAUGACACUAACAUUCUCACCCUUUGACACUAACAACUAGAGUAUUAUCUUCAUAAAAUGAGCUAACAUAAAGAAGUAGCAAGUAGCAAACAUUAUGAAUAAACAGAAUACUUAAAAGUAAUAAGCAUGCAAAAGGAGAACUCCCCUUCGAUAGUAGCAUCAAUACAUUCCCCUAAUAAACAGGAUAGAAUGGAAGCGGGCUUUUAUUUCUUUUCUUAAAAUGUGAAUGCAUGGUAAAGAAGGUUUUUUUUUUGGCACUAUGAAUAUGAAGUGGUUAUAAUAAUUAUUUUUCUUGCUCCGCCCUACUCGUUAUAUAAAGUUAUUAUUUUACCCUAUAUAUUUGUUGAUACAACAUAUAAUAAGGGAGGAAGAUAAGGAGGAGGUCAAGAUGGUGCAAUGGAGGCCAAUUCACCUAAAGAGGUUGAGAACUGAAACAAGAACAAAAUGACAAACUAACCAAGAAGACAAUUGCUUAGUAACUCUAGAGUGCUAACAAAAAGGAUCUUUUUGCAUAAUUCCUUAGAAUAUUUUCUCUUGCCCACUGAUAUGACAUGGCCAGAUAAACAUUCAAUCCUGCAAAAUGUGUAAAGGAUAUUUAUAAGCGUAUAUCAUAGGACCUUAUCAGUACGAGAUUAUUGUGCCUAAAUGAACUCUUUAUCACAUAAAGAGUGCAUUCAUACUAAGAGAAUGUUAAUACUUUAAAACGGGUGGGUGGAUGGUUCCAUCUAAGAGGAAUGAGUGGUCUAUUGAAGCGUUACUUCAAAUGAAGUCAACAAGAGGUCUAUGAUGCAACUGAUAUUGAUACGUGUUCAAGUGACGGAGGGGUAUAGCAACAUUAAAAGAGUAAAAAUAUAAAAAUAUGUUUGAACCUAGAAUUACAUAGUUAAGACUUAAUGGUUUCUGGCAAUGUUUUCAUAAUCGAACCCGAUCAGACCACCAAUUUUUAAUUUAAUUGAUUCAACUGAUUAAAUCAAUCGAUUCAAUAAAAAUUAAAUUAUAAAUAUAAAAUCCAAUUAUUUAUAAAUUUUAAAAUCUCAUUAUUAAAGUUUUGUUAAUUCCACUUUAAGAUUAUAUAUAUAUAGCCUAUUGAUUAAAAAUUUAUAAAUCCACCUUUAAAGAACUUAAAAGUUCCUUGCGAAUAUGCAACUCAUCUCUUUGACUCUUUAGACUUAUAAAUUUCUCUUCCACUUUCUUUUUGUCAUUCCCUCUUCUCAUUUAUUCUAACUAUUCCUUAAAAUACCCAAAUCUCUUUCGUAUCAUAUCAAAUCUCAUGUUUUUCUUUUUCUUUCUUUACAUAAAAAAAAUAUUAUUCUAAUCGAUUUUUUUUCAAGUUUCUAAACCCUGUUUAAUUGAGUUUUAAUUAGUUUAUAACAGUUUACUUGUUAUCUAUUUUAAUAAAGAGUGUUGAUUGAUCAUAUUUAUCAAUUUUUAAUCCAGUCAAUUUAAUUUUGAUAACAUUAAUUUUUGAUUUCUAGUUGCUGAUAUAAGAAAAUAAAGAUAAAUUAAUUGUUAGGGAAUUUUUAAUUUUUAAGGUAAAUUUUUCAUUCCUUUUUACUUGGGAGGUUGUCCCAAGUAAUCAAAAUUAUGUUUAAAAUAUUAAAAAUAAUUAAGAAAAAUCAAAAUGAAACAACGUAUGGUAAAAUGAGAAUGGAUAUAUUUAAUAAAUUAUAAAAUUAAAUAUUUAUGAUGGAACGAAAUAGAUAAUAAAAUAAUUAAGAUUUAACAAUAUUUGCUAGGUGUUGUUACAUUUUCAUCCCAAUGGAGAGCAAUGUUAUGUUGGCUUUACUUUUUGGACCAACAAUUGAGAAGUGGCUUGGGAUUUUUUUUUUUUUUUCUUCAGAAAUGGUGCAUGAAAGUGUUGGUGAAAAUGGUUAAAUUGGCUAAAUCAUGUGACAGUGUCGGUGGUCCUUAUUACAAUUAUGUAAUAAAUAAUUGCAGUCACGUGACAUGCAAUAAAUAUGUAAUCUUUCUGACAAGUUUUAAAAGUACGAGUUUGACAAUGUUGUCAUUAAUUGCAGGCUGAUUUGAUGCAAAUGCAAUUUUUUAUUUAUAAUAAUUGUCUCUGGUGCUCAAUCUUUUAGAAUAUCUUGAAUCUCCAUUAGGGUUAUCAAACAUAUGUAAAACUUCAAGAGUAACAAUGUCUAUAAUUUUAUUAUUCUCUUUAAGAGUAUAUCUUAAUGACCAUUUCUUUUCGUUAGAAAAGAUAUGUUAAAUUCUCCUAAUUAAAGUAGAGUUAGUUUUUUUAGGCUUAUUACCACUAAUAGUUGCUAUAAUUUUGAUGCUAUCAAAAUAAAUGGUAAUAUCAUAAUAUUUUUGUUUUUUAAGCAUGUGUAAGUUAUCUAAUAUGUCCCAAAGCUCAGCAGCUACAACCGAACGCUUCCCCAAAAAAUGAUUAUUCCUAGAAUCUAAUUUCCCUUCCCAUUACAUAUUACUCCACCUGCAGCAGAAAAACCAGAAAUCGAAUUAACGACGCCUUUAGUAUUAAGAAAAAAACCCAUAUCUAAUUUUGAACGUUCAGAAGACUGUUGCGGAUCCUUCACCAAGACUUCAUUAUUGAUUAAGGAAUAUUGCUUUGCCCAACUGUAAGAAACCUUAAUAAUUUCCUCCAGAUUCAUUGAUUUUCCUUAGAAGAUGAACAGGUUACGGUUUUUCUAAAUGCAACCAAAGUAUUAUCCCGAAUAAGCAAGCCCAAACCAAAUCUCUCGUGUUAUUAUCUGAUUGGUCCUGUAGAUUCGAGAGCAACCAUUCUGAAAUAUUACCUCUAAAGAUUCAUUUAUUUUGAUUGGGGAAAAUGAUUUGAGUCCAAAUAUCCUUUGAACAUGGACAUCCCCUAAGAACCAGUAAAAUAUCCUCCGUAUAAUGACCACAAAGAUGACACAACUCAUCGUGACCAAUUCCCCUUCGAACCCUUUCAGAGUUGGUUAAAAGUCUUUGAUUUAGGAUUAUCCAGAUGAACAUGUGACGGUGUACUAAUGGAGCCCGUGGAAGGGACAAAAGAAAGAGGGUACAUAGUGGAUUGGGCUCCACAGGAAGAUGUCUUGGCCCAUGGGGCUAUCGGUGGGUUUUAAACUCAUAGCGGACGGAAUUCGACUUUGGAGAGCGUGACAGCAGGGGUGCCCAUGAUUUGUUGGCCUUGCUUUGCUGACCAACAAUUGAACAGUAGGUUUGUGGAGGAAGUGUGGAAAUUAGGAUUAGAUAUGAAGGAUGUGUGUGAUAGAAGAGUUGUGGAGCAAAUGGUGAAUGAUUUAAUGGUGGAAAAAAGGGAGGAGAUUUUGAAAUCAGCUGCUGAAUUUGCUAAAUUGGCUAAAGGAUCUGUGAAUGUUGGUGGGUCUUCGUAUUGUAAUUUGGACUGUAAUUGAGGACAUAAGAAUGAUGAAUAAAAAUUGUUAAAAAAGUGAAAUUUUGAGAUAGGGACAACAAAAUGAGGGGCCUUUCCCAUCCCCACUUUUUUUAUUAAAUUAUUUCCUAGGUUCCUGCUAAUUUCGAAUUAAACAAUUUGACCCUAAUUUCUUUAAUUACCUCUUGCAUCCUUGUCAACUUUCAAAUUAAUAAUCGUAUUUCUUUACUUUUAUACUAAUAUAUGAUUUUCAAUUGAUAAGAUAUAAAAUAAUCACUAAACUAUUCGAAAGUUUUUAUUUAAUUCAUUAGUUUUAAGUUUGGUUGACGUGCUCCAAACAACAAUUCGACGAAUAGUAUGGUAGAUCAGUACCCAUCAAGAAAUAGAAGAACAUACCUUAGAUCCAAUUCGAUCUGGUAGUCAGUGUUGGAGAUCGAAGAAGAAAGUUAUUUGGAUUUUGGUUUGUAGAUAUGAAAAGAAAUUGAACCAUACAAGAAAAGGGGAAAUAAAGUUUUCAAUUGGUGCAAGCGAUGCGAACAGAGAAAACCAUACAACAACGAUUUUAACUAUUCAGUAACUUAAAUAAAAACUUUAAAUAAUUUUAUGACUAUUUUAUAACUUUCUGAAUUCGAGUGACUAUAAAUUAACUAGUAAUUUUUAUUUAUGUUUUUGAAGCCUAUAUUAUUUUCAUUCUAAGCUUUUGUUUAUGGUUUUGAAGGUUUUAUUUGGUGUAAUAUUUUAAUUAUGCUCAACAAUUUCAAUAAUAUUAAUUUACAUUAAUUACAUGAAAUAAAAAAAUACUUUUAAUGAAAAAUAAAUAAAUAAAAUCAUUAAUUAACUUACUUUAAAUGGGUGCGUUCAAAAUAAAUAUUAGAAAACAAAAAUAAUAUUAUAACCAUAUUUUCUCUUAAAUUUUAAAAAAAUUAAAACAAAAUUAAUUUUCCAGCCCCAAUAAAUCAUAAUACAACUUUUAAAUAAACUUUUAGAUUUGUUUUUUAAUAAUUUCUCAUAUUCCGAAAAUAAAUAUCACAUCAAGCAUUUUAAAAAAAGAUAAAAUAUAUUAAUUUCAAAAAGAAAGGAAAAGUCAUUAAGAAUAUAAGCUUAUGCGUCACACAUCGAAUCACGUGUCUUUUAGGAAAAGAGUAAUGAUCUCAUAACAAGUGGUAUCAAAGCAAUCAUUGACUGCCCAAUUUCACAAUAAGCUUCUCAGAAAGUGGAAUGAUAUAGUGGACCAACUAUGACACAGUAGCUUGUGACUAGGACGUCACGAGAUUGAAUAGGAGAGAAUGUCACACCAAAUGCUUUAAAGUAGGCAAGUUGCCAUAAUUCCACAUUGGAAUGGAAAUGGAAAAUAAGGUCAUUGAGGAUAGGUAUAUGGGCGCAGCUAGAGGGGCUAAUAGUGGCUUUAAUCCCCUUAAAAUGAAUCUUUUUUUUAUGUAGGUCUUUUAAAAUUUUAAAUUAUUAGAAAUAAAAUAUACUUUAACCCUUUAAAAAUGAUAAAAUUUUAAUUUAAUCUUUUAAAAAUUAUAAAAAUAUAAAGUAUUAAAGAUAAUAAAAUUAUAUUUUUAUUAUUAUAAAAAUUAUAAUUUAAUUUCAACCCGAAAAAGAAUUUCUAAAUUCACCCUUGGACAGAUAAGAGCCUAAUUAGUUUCCUAAAAAUGAUAAAUAUAUCAUUUAUUUCUCAACUCAUAAAUUAAUAUAAUGGUCAAAUUAGACAACAAUUUCCACCCUAUCCAAAGACAUCUUUUGGCCAUUAAAUAGCUUCCAAAUUGUCGAUUCUUUAGCACAUAAACAGAUCCUCCAAUUAGAUGGAGCAGGAUAGAUCCUCUCAAUCCCGUCCUCCUCAUGUCCUCGUCUUCCCCCUCCCAUUACAAGGCCAUAUAAACUCCAUGAUUAAGCUAGCUGAACUGCUAGCUAUCGCCGGCUUCAAGCUCACUUUCCUCAACUCCCACCACAACCAUGAACGCUUGGUCAAGUUCAACAAUAUUGCUGCCCAUUCUGAAAGAUACCCAGGGUUCCAAUUCAAGACCAUAACCGAUGGCCUCCCUCUUAAUCAUCCUAGGUCAGGGAGCUGGUUCCUUGAUAUGUUUGAAGAUACCAUGGAACUUAAGAUGAAGGAAAGUUUGAGAGAGGUACUUGUGAAUAGUAGCCCACCAGUAGAUUGCAUAAUUGGAGAUGGGUUUUUAGGCUUUGCUCUUGAUGUUGCAAAGGAGCUUGGAAUCCCCAUUAUUUUUUUUCGUACCAGCAGUCCUUGUUGUUUCUGGGUUUAUCAUUCUAUCCCUGAUAUAAUCCAAGCUGGGGAGCUUCCUAUCAAUGGUAAAUCCAUUUCUUUUCAUCAACUUGUUUAUUGUACCAUGUUUAGCACUGUUUUUAAUUUAGAAUAACACAAAUAAAACCUUAAGUCGAAAUGAUUUUACAAGCAUGUUGAAGAAAUUAACAAGAAAGACGUUUGGAAUAUUCCUGUUAAUUAGGCGAGUUGAUUUGGUUUAAGUUGGAUUAAAUCGGAAUUUAAAAAUUUUAAAUCAUUUCAUGUUUGAAUGAUUUUGAGUUUCAAUUUUUUUUAAGAGGUUUGGAUUGUUUCCAGUUAAAAUCAUUUUGGGUUCUUGUCAUUUAGAUUUACUAAUUUAACUUUUAAAUUUGAGUUAUUUUGGGUCAUUUUGUUUCCGGGUCACUUUAGGUUAGCUAGCUGGGUUUUUUGUUUCAAUUUUCAAGUUGAAUCAUUUCAGGAUUGUUUUCAUUCGGGUUUAAUACUUAAGUUUGGACCACUUUGGGUAACUUGUUCCCGUUGUUUUUAAGUUCGAGUCGUUUAAAGUUGGGAUCAUGUUUGAGCUUAGAUCAUUUUGAAUUUGAGUUGUUAAAUUUCUAUGAUUAAAUAAAUUUGAAUCUGAUUUGAGUUUGAAUUAAUUGGGCUUGUGAUCAUUGACACUAGUAAAUGGGUUUUUGUUAAACAAUUGAAGGAAGUGAAGACAUGGACCGGUUAAUAACGACAGUGCCAGGCAUGGAAACUUAUCUUCGAUGUCGAGAUCUUCCUACUUUUUGUCGAAAACUGGACAUUGAAGAUUCAAGUAUGAAGCUAGUUGUAAAACAGACUCGAAAGAGCCUUCAAGCCGAUGCCUUGAUACUCAACACCGCCGAAGAGCUUGAUGGGCCUAUACUAUCUCAAAUACGCACCAAAUGCCCUCGUGUCUAUGCCGUUGGACCCUUACAUGCUCAAUUAAACACUAGACUCAAUGCAAAACAUGGAGAAUCAUAUGAUCACUUCUCGAAUACACUUUGGGAAGUGGAUAAAAGCUGCAUCUUUUGGCUCAAUAAGCAACCGAAUCGAUCUGUUAUCUAUGUAAGUUUUGGUAGCAUUACGAGCACGUCAAGGGAGCAACUUGUAGAGCUUUGGUAUGGACUUCUUAACAGUAAAACGAAGUUCUUGCUUGUUGUAAGGCCGAAUUCCGUCAUUGGAAAAGAUGGUGAAGGGGAGGAUGUUGUAAUGGAGCUUAUGGAGAAGAGUAAGGAUCGAGGUUACAUUGUAAAUUGGGCACCACAAGAGGCAGUCUUGAACCACCCGGCCAUUGGCGGGUUCUUUACGCAUAAUGGAGUCGACUUUAGAGAGCAUUGUCGCAGGGGUGCCUAUGAUUUGCUGGCCUCAGUUUGCUGACCAACACGUGAAUAGUAGGGUUGUGAGUGAGGUGUGGAAAAUAGGGUUGGAUAUGAAGGAUGUAUGUGAUAGCAAGAUAGUGG
rnacentral:lncRNA from 1 species